AACGAACGCUGGCGGCAUGCCUAACACAUGCAAGUCGAACGAGACCUUCGGGUCUAGUGGCGCACGGGUGCGUAACGCGUGGGAACCUGCCCUUAGGUUCGGAAUAACUCCCCGAAAGGGGUGCUAAUACCGGAUAAUGUCUUCGGACCAAAGAUUUAUCGCCUUUGGAUGGGCCCGCGUUGGAUUAGCUAGAUGGUAGGGUAAAAGCCUACCAAGGCGACGAUCCAUAGCUGGUCUGAGAGGAUGAUCAGCCACACUGGGACUGAGACACGGCCCAGACCCCUAGGGGGGGGAGCGGGGGGAAUUAUUGAAAAGGGGGCGAAAGCCUGACCCGGCAAUGCCGGGUGAGUGAAGAGGCCCUUGGGUUUGAAAAGCUUUUUUCCCCGGGAUAAUAAUGACAUCACGGGGAAAAUAGCCUCCGCCUAACCCGGUC
rnacentral:rRNA from 1 species